AUUGAACGCUGGCGGCAUGCUUUACACUUGCAAGUCGGACGGCAGCACAGAGAAGCUUGCUUCUUGGGUGGCGAGUGGCGAACGGGUGAGUAACAUAUCGGAACGUACCGAGCAGUGGGGGAUAACUAAUCGAAAGAUUAGCUAAUACCGCAUAUCUUCUGAGGAAGAAAGCAGGGGACCAUUUGGCCUUGCGCUGUUUGAGCGGCCGAUAUCUGAUUAGCUAGUUGGUGGGGUAAAGGCCUACCAAGGCGACGAUCAGUAGCGGGUCUGAGAGGAUGAUCCGCCACACUGGGACUGAGACACGGCCCAGACUCCUACGGGAGGCAGCAGUGGGGAAUUUUGGACAAUGGGCGCAAGCCUGAUCCAGCCAUGCCGCGUGUCUGAAGAAGGCCUUCGGGUUGUAAAGGACUUUUGUCAGGGAAGAAAAGGGCGGGGUUAAUACCCCUGUCUGAUGACGGUACCUGAAGAAUAAGCACCGGCUAACUACGUG
rnacentral:rRNA from 1 species